GGUGAACCCACGUCAAAGAAAGCAAAGAUGGCCAGCGUGUUGGACCAGCUGAAGGAGGCAUACGGUGGUCGUCGCCGAUACUGGCGACUUCGAAGCAAUGAAAAAGUAUAAACCGACGGACGCGACAACGAACCCGUCGCUGAUCCUGGCGGCCGCGUCCAUGCCGCAGUACCAAAACCUCAUCGAGAAGGCGGUGGAGUACGGCAAGGACGCCGGACAGACGGAUGCGGAGCGGGUGUCGGCCACUAUGGACCGCGUGUUCGUGCUGUUCGGGAAGGAGAUCCUCAAGAUUGUGCCUGGCCGCGUCUCCAUCGAGGUCGA